rnacentral:lncRNA from 1 species
GUAUUUGUUUCUCCGAUAUCUUACGACUUUCACGACAAAUUCAUAUAAUAAUUUUUUUUUGAGAAAUAGGUAGCCAGCUACCUGCUUCAUUCAUUAAGUAAAAUAAAUUAGGCAUACAUGAUGGAAGCAACUAGGGCCUCCUAACCGCGUCAACGAAACAGAAAACAGAAAAACAGAAAAUGCCAACAGCAAAUCCGUACGACAGAAAACGAAAAAACAAACAUAACCUAAUUAAUAGAGGUAAUCAGAGGGAAACAAAGGUAAAACACGGAUUCAGGUAACGUCAGUCCAGUCCCUGAUCAGAGCCGCGACACGUUCGAUAGCUCAGUAGGCGUUGGGAGACCCAUUGCGAAAUAUGAUCCUAUUUCUCUCCGUCCAAACGACCCACCAGAUUGCCGCCAACUGGGUCAGACUAUUCGAUCGCAAAGUGAUGUUAUAGAUGUCGGAUAU